AGAGUUUGAUCCUGGCUCAGGAUGAACGCUAGCGGCAGGCUUAACACAUGCAAGUCGAGGGGUAACAGGGAGUGCUUGCACUCUGCUGACGACCGGCGCACGGGUGCGUAACGCGUAUGCAACCUACCUUCUACAGGGGGAUAGUCCAGAGAAAUUUGGCAUAAUACCCCAUACGAUCAUUUAUUGGCAUCGAUAGAUGAGGAAAACUCCGGUGGUAGAAGAUGGGCAUGCGUCCUAUUAGUUAGUUGGUAAGGUAACGGCUUACCAAGACAUCGAUAGGUAGGGGUCCUGAGAGGGAGAUCCCCCACACUGGUACUGAGACACGGACCAGACUCCUACGGGAGGCAGCAGUGAGGAAUAUUGGACAAUGGAGGCAACUCUGAUCCAGCCAUGCCGCGUGCAGGAAGACGGCCCUACGGGUUGUAAACUGCUUUUAUACAGGAAGAAACGCCGCUACGUGUAGCGGUUUGACGGUACUGUACGAAUAAGGAUCGGCUAACUCCGUGCCAGCAGCCGCGGUAAUA
rnacentral:rRNA from 1 species